CACGCAAGACAUGGCAUUACGACCGGGAAUAUGUUCUGAAAUAUGUGUAUGCACGGAACUGUGCCUGUGUAAGAAAACAGCUCUCUUUUCAGAUGCAAGAUGCGAGAAGGCACGUAAACAUCUGCAGCACAGCUUUUCAGAAUAAACCUACAGAGGCUAUGUUUUCAGGCAGCACACAAACCAAUGCGGUGGUAGCUGCAAAGGAUGACCCAUAGUGCCACUGAUCAUUUCACUGUCACAGUGAAUUUAUAAGCACUGUGUUCCAAAGGUCACUCAGGGCUCACAUGGUGUAUAUUGGCAAGACAAGAUUUGUACAAUGCCAGUAACAUACCUGCUCCUUUCUUUCGCUUAAAAAGCAAAUCAGUACCUUAGUUGAAAUGUUGGGUUUGGUUUGCUUCUUCUGCAGCCUUGGAAGUGUUAAACAGAAGUAUCAAAAUAUUUCGGAUAGCUGUUACUACCCACUGGAAAUAAAAAUGAAAGCAAUGCAUUUUCCAAGACAAAUGAGCCUGCAUUAGGAAGGCAAGAAAACACAUGAAUGUAUACAAACAGAACUGGCUGGCAACACAUCAUCACUGACACAUGGCAACACCAGUGCAAGCUUGGGAAGGCUGCCUUUGAUUACGGAGUAAUGAAGCAGGGGAUUGAAUGACUUCUGUCAGGGAAUUUGCAGUGCAUGUCAGAAACGUCCUUGUGGUCUUGAAGGCCGUAAAGGAUUUUUAAUCCUUUUCUCAUCGUCUGAGGAAAGUUUCAGAAUUACAAGAGACAUCUCAGUUUGUCAAUGGCGGCAACAAGGAAGCACCAAGCCAAGCCCCCGCAAAGCAGUUACCUCCUAACCGUGACAGCACAGAUGCAGUAUUUAAGUCAUCUUUCUGCAUUAGGCAGAGACUGCCCUGGUGCAAGCUUUAAGGAUGACAAAGACAGGAGGAUGGAGACAGUUUCAGGUGUCCAUGUCAACUCCUCUCCCUCCAGUUCUCUGACUGGGGUUUCAGUUAGUAGAGGCACAGACUCUACUGCUCUCCACUAGACCCAGUGUUGCUGCUUAGAAUGCACCCCCGACCUGUCAUAAGACAUUACUUGUAAUUUAUCAUUAGUAUCUUACACAUUGUUUAUUGUAUGUCAUAUAAAUCAAAUAAACUCAAAGAUACAUGGUAUCAAAAUAAAAAUAUUGACAUGUU